UAACACGUAUCCAACCUGCCGUCUACUCUUGGACAGCCUUCUGAAAGGAAGAUUAAUACAAGAUGGCAUCAUGAGUCCGCAUGUUCACAUGAUUAAAGGUAUUCCGGUAGACGAUGGGGAUGCGUUCCAUUAGAUAGUAGGCGGGGUAACGGCCCACCUAGUCUUCGAUGGAUAGGGGUUCUGAGAGGAAGGUCCCCCACAUUGGAACUGAGACACGGUCCAAACUCCUACGGGAGGCAGCAGUGAGGAAUAUUGGUCAAUGGGCGAGAGCCUGAGCCAGCCAAGUAGCGUGAAGGAUGACUGCCCUAUGGGUUGUAAACUUCUUUUAUAAAGGAAUAAAGUCGGGUAUGGAUACCCGUUUGCAUGUACUUUAUGAAUAAGGAUCGGCUAACUCCGUGCCAGCAGCCGCGGUAAUACGGAGGAUCCGAGCGUUAUCCGGAUUUAUUGGGUUUAAAGGGAGCGUAGAUGGAUGUUUAAGUCAGUUGUGAAAGUUUGCGGCUCAACCGUAAAAUUGCAGUUGAUACUGGAUAUCUUGAGUGCAGUUGAGGCAGGCGGAAUUCGUGGUGUAGCGGUGAAAUGCUUAGAUAUCACGAAGAACUCCGAUUGCGAAGGCAGCCUGCUAAGCUGCAACUGACAUUGAGGCUCGAAAGUGUGGGUAUCAAACAGGAUUAGAUACCCUGGUAGUCCACACGGUAAACGAUGAAUACUCGCUGU
rnacentral:rRNA from 1 species